rnacentral:rRNA from 1 species
UGCGUAGGCGGGUCUUUAAGUCAGGGGUGAAAUCCUGGAGCUCAACUCCAGAACUGCCUUUGAUACUGAAGAUCUUGAGUUCGGGAGAGGUGAGUGGAACUGCGAGUGCAGAGGUGAAAUUCGUAGAUAUUCGCAAGAACACCAGUGGCGAAGGCGGCUCACUGGCCCGAUACUGACGCUGAGGCACGAAAGCGUGGGGAGCAAACA